rnacentral:rRNA from 1 species
UACGUAGGGUGCAAGCGUUAAUCGGAAUUACUGGGCGUAAAGCGUGCGCAGGCGGUUUGCUAAGACAGGUGUGAAAUCCCCGGGCUUAACCUGGGAACUGCGUCCGAUACUGGAAGGCUUGAAUCCGGGAGAGGGAUGUGGAAUUCCAGGUGUAGCGGUGAAAUGCGUAGAUAUCUGGAGGAACACCGGUGGCGAAGGCGACAUCCUGGACCGGUAUUGACGCUGAGGCGCGAAAGCCAGGGGAGCAAAGCGGG